rnacentral:pre_miRNA from 1 species
CAAAUACUUCCUCCAUCCGGAAAUACUUGUCAUCAAAAUGGAUAAAAGGAAAUGUAUCUAGAUGUAUUUUAGUUUUAGAUACAUAUCUUUUUAUCCAUUUUGAUGACAAGUAUUUUCAGACGGAGGGAGUAGAAA